rnacentral:lncRNA from 1 species
AUGCUGCCCGUGCUGCUGCCACCGCUGCUGCUGCUGCUGCUUAACCCCCACGCCCCACCCCCAAGGCUGGAGAGCACCCCCCUGAGGCUGCUGCACACCAACACCUGCAGAGACACCUUCCGCCUCCAGCCCGACUGUCCGGACCUGCAGGCCCUCCUGCCCAAGGGCUCCCGGUGCGCGAUCGCCCCCACCGGCCCAGCCCAGCUGGUGGUGUCUGAUGGGAGCCCCCUGGUCUGCUUCCAAGCUAGCAGCUGGCGGCUGGAGGGUGUGAUGACCUGGGGUCCCUGCUCCCGGCCUGGCCUCCCUGAGGUCUACACACGUGCCUGUCCCCUCAUUUCUUGGAUUCGGGAGACGGUCUCCAAUGCCACCUUCGAUACCUCAGCCAAGAUGCACUCUUGGGACCGGCCCAGGACCAGGCAGAGGAGGCAGUGAGGGUCCUUCGGGAGUUCUGGGUUUGAAACCUGGCUCAGCUCCUUACCUGCUGCUGCGAUGGUGUCCCAGUCACCUCCCUUCUGAAUCUGCUUCCUCUUUUGUGCAACGGAGAUGUAUUCAAUUAUUCAGUCGUUCCACAGCUGCCACAUGCUCCCUACACAAGGUUGCUACAGCCCCUGUGCUCAUGGAGUCUGGGGGGCGAGGCGAGCAUUAGCCAGCGCUCUCACAAUAAUAAAUGUGCAAAUGC